GCGGUGUCAGGGUACAGACCCCACGCACACCGAGCCUUGCGCGGUCUGAGGGGAGCUCUGCUCGUAAACCCUUCACCACUGCCUGAGUGGCGGCGGUUGGCAGUUUAGGGAGCUGUAUCUUGUACCUUGCUGGAUAUGAGGUGAUGCGAAUUCCUUCACUCCUUUACUCAUAAAACUAAAAGGAACUGUGACACCCAAGUUCAGUCCUCCAGACACAUCCCUGAAUGUUCUCUACUACAACAGCUGGAGGAACCUUCCUGUGCUCCACAGGCAUUGCCUGUGCUUGGGAGAUUGAAGAAAGCAAGCAAGAUGCAUAAAAAAUGUCACCCGGUCCUGGCAGCAGCAGCCUGAAUGGAGGAAAAAUGCUCAGUGUAAGAUGUCUCACAAGAAGGAGGAGCUAUUCUAUUCCAUCUUGUGACCAGGAGAAGGGAGCUUUCAUCCAAUCUCUACUCCUACCAACCUUUCUUUACCCAGGCAGCAUCUUUCAGCCUGGGGACACAGACUCUGACUGGGAUUCACUGUUUAGGAGGAGAACUCUUAUCC